GCCCUCCUGGGCACAUGGAUUUGGUAAUGAAACCCCCAGAGGUGAGGAAGGAGUCAACAGACAGACCCAUAUGGGCAACACUGGAGGAUUAUGUGCAGGAACGCCACGAGGCUUUUGCUACCACCAGAUAAACCCUCCGCAUGUGUCUCUGAGGUUCCAGCUGAAGAUGUCUGCUCAGAAACGGUAAACGUGUUUGAAUAGCGCUCUGUGUGUGCAGAGGCUCAAUAAGAAGCAUGCACUUCCUUUGCUGUGGAGCAGAAGGUCUCUGAACCCACAUCCUGCACUCCUCGGAGCCAUCAGGGCGCUGCCGUUAGCUCUGUGGGAGCAGAAAGGAGCACUUACGUGGCAUCAUGACAUGCUGCUGCAGAACGAGCCCAUUACCGCAGGAAAACACCAGCAGGGCAUCCUCUGUGUCAUACAAGAGGAAAGGGUAGGAAAUGAAACGCUGCUACGAUGUGUGAGGAAAAUGGGUCACCUACUUUGUGUGAGGAAGCGCGCAGGAUGCUCACAGUGUGUUUCAAUGUGCAGUGCCUGGUUUGGAGCAGCUGGGAUGUGGUUUUGCAGGUAGGAUGAUGCCAUGUGGGAUCACCAGGCUUGUCGGUGGCCCUGCCUGGCAGUAGGAUGGCAGGGAGCUGCUCCCGGGGCUCCUCCUGUCACUGAGAUGGGCACCACGGAUCCUCUGGCUUUAGCCAACUGGCAAAUACAAGAUUGUCAUGGUUCAGUGAUUUUUUGAUGUCUG
rnacentral:lncRNA from 1 species